rnacentral:rRNA from 1 species
CAUGCAAGUCGAACGAUGAUGCUGGAGCUUGCUCCAGUUGAUUAGUGGCGAACGGGUGAGUAACACGUGAGCAAUCUGCCCUUGACUCUGGGAUAACUGCGGGAAACUGUAGCUAAUACCGGAUACUUUCACCGGAAGGCAUCUUCUGGUGAUGAAAGAAUUUCGGUCAGGGAUGAGCUCGCGGCCUAUCAGCUUGUUGGUGAGGUAACGGCUCACCAAGGCGACGACGGGUAACCGGCCUGAGAGGGCGACCGGCCACACUGGGACUGAGACACGGCCCAGACUCCUACGGGAGGCAGCAGUGGGGAAUAUUGGGCAAUGGAGGAAACUCUGACCCAGCGACGCCGCGUGAGGGAUGAAGGCCUUCGGGUUGUAAACCUCUUUCAGUAGGGAAGAAGCGAAAGUGACGGUACCUACAGAAGAAGCACCGGCUAACUAUGUGCCAGCAGCCGCGGUAAUACAUAGGGUGCAAGCGUUGUCCGGAAUUAUUGGGCGUAAAGAGCUCGUAGGUGGUUCGAUACGUCGGAUGUGAAAAUCAGGGGCUCAACCCCUGACCUGCAUCCGAUACGGUCGAGCUAGAGUUUGGUAGGGGAGACUGGAAUUCCUGGUGUAGCGGUGGAAUGCGCAGAUAUCAGGAGGAACACCGAUGGCGAAGGCAGGUCUCUGGGCCAAUACUGACACUGAGGAGCGAAAGCGUGGGGAGCGAACAGGAUUAGAUACCCUGGUAGUCCACGCCGUAAACGGUGGGCGCUAGUUGUGCGAACCUUCCACGGUUUGUGCGACGCAGCUAACGCAUUAAGCGCCCCGCCUGGGGAGUACGAUCGCAAGAUUAAAACUC